CUCGGAGCUGCUUCCUGCUUUGGGCUGCUACAAAUAGUUGCUGUAAGCGUCUGUGGACAGGUCUAUGUGUGAAGAUGAUGUCUUGCUAAGUUGUCCAGGCUGGACUUCAGCUUUCCACCCUCCUGCUUCAGCCUCCCAGAGUGCUGGGAUCACAGAAGUCCAUGCACCCGCGCCAGCAAUGAAGAGUGACCUGGCCCUCGCGGGAGCGCUGCUCGGCCUGGCCCUCCUGUCACUGCCACCGCCCGCACGCCCCCAACUGGCCGCAGAAGACGCCUGCUCCGUGCAGAUCCUGGUGCCCGGCCUCAAAGGGGACUUGGGAGAGAAGGGGGACAAAG
rnacentral:lncRNA from 1 species